GACGAACGCUGGCGGCGUGCUUAACACAUGCAAGUCGAACGGAAAGGCCCUGCUUUUGUGGGGUGCUCGAGUGGCGAACGGGUGAGUAACACGUGAGUAACCUGCCCUUGACUUUGGGAUAACUUCAGGAAACUGGGGCUAAUACCGGAUAGGAGCUCCUGCUGCAUGGUGGGGGUUGGAAAGUUUCGGCGGUUGGGGAUGGACUCGCGGCUUAUCAGCUUGUUGGUGGGGUAGUGGCUUACCAAGGCUUUGACGGGUAGCCGGCCUGAGAGGGUGACCGGCCCAUUUGGAGAUGGGCGACGGCCGAACAUCGUACGGGGGGAACGAGGCGGAAAUAUUACAAAAUGGGGGGAAGCGAGAAGCGGCCACCCCGGGGGGGGGAGGGGGGCCUUGGGGGGUAAACCCGCUUUCGCCUGUGAAAAGGCGAGGGUCGCGGUAAUGGCGAAAAAAGCAGCGGGCAACUACGU
rnacentral:rRNA from 1 species